UCGUUUUCCGAUUUCAAUAAAAUUAAAAGCCUAAUUCUGAACUGUCAAAUUAUUAAUAAUGAUGCUGAUCAAGAAUAUAUAUACUUUAUAGGGUCGGAGAUGUCUCCUUCACUGCGUUGCAAACUUCUGACUGAAAUUAUAAUACCCUCUGCAAGGGUAUAAAAAUUAUCCCUCCU